rnacentral:rRNA from 1 species
AAUGGACGCAAGUCUGAACCAGCCAUGCCGCGUGCAGGAUGACGGCUCUAUGAGUUGUAAACUGCUUUUGUACGAGGGUAAACCCAGAUACGUGUAUCUGGUUGAAAGUAUCGUACGAAUAAGGAUCGGCUAACUCCGUGCCAGCAGCCGCGGUAAUACGGAGGAUCCAAGCGUUAUCCGGAUUUAUUGGGUUUAAAGGGUGCGUAGGCGGCUUAGUAAGUUGGAGGUGAAAUACCGUGGCUUAACCACGGAACUGCCUCCAAUACUGUUAAGCUAGAGAGUAGUUGCUGUGGGCGGAAUGUGUAGUGUAGCGGUGAAAUGCUUAGAUAUUACACAGAACACCGAUUGCGAAGGCAGCUCACAAAGUUAUAUCUGACGCUGAGGCACGAAAGCGUGGGGAGCAAA